AUCCUAGUCUAUAUGAUGUCAUACACCAAUUUACUGGGAUCUCUAUUGUUAAAAUUUGAGCAGCUUUUUCUGGAGCUUUGUCUGAGGAUCUCAUCAAGGAGGGGGAGGUGUUGAUAUCUAGUCCAUGAUGCUAAGAUAUGAGGUACUAAUUGCUAGACACGUAGUCAAAUUCUUGUUACAACAAGACUGCAUCUAGAGUGCAAUAAUGAUGGCC
rnacentral:lncRNA from 1 species